AUGGAUCCUCAUCCCCUCGCUAAUCUUUUUAAGAGAUCCAAUUAUGAUGAACUAAUUUCUAGUGAUUUGAGAGCACUAGAUUAUCUUUAUGAGGUUUUACUUGAAAUCCGUGAAUCUGAAAAUUGUGAUGAAGAAAUUUAUGAAGAGAUUCACGGUAGCUCAUUGAAUAAAAAGCAUGAUUGCAAUGAUUUUACUAUAAAUUCUCUUGAUGUCAAUUGUGCUAAUAAUAUGCAAAACCCUAAGCUUGGGGAUGCUAAAUUUGCUAUGUCUACUACUUGUUGCAGUGAUCAUGAUUGGGGUGAUUCUUCUUAUGAUCUUGAAAAUUUAUUUAAGCCCCAUGGUGAAUAUGAGAUUGAUAAUAGUGUUUGA
rnacentral:rRNA from 1 species